rnacentral:rRNA from 2 species
CACGUAGGGGGCUAGCGUUGUCCGGAAUCAUUGGGCGUAAAGCGCGUGUAGGCGGCCAGAUAAGUCCGGUGUGAAAGUCAAAGGCUCAACCUUUGAAUGCCGCUGGAAACUGUCUGGCUAGAGUCCGGAAGGGGCGAGUGGAACUCCUGGUGUAGCGGUGAAAUGCGCAGAUAUCAGGAAGAACACCUAUGGCGAAGGCAGCUCGCUGGGACGGUACUGACGCUGAGACGCGAAAGCGUGGGGAGCGAACAGG